UACGUAGGGUGCAAGCGUUAAUCGGAAUUACUGGGCGUAAAGCGUGCGCAGGCGGCUAUGCAAGACAGAUGUGAAAUCCCCGGGCUCAACCUGGGAACUGCAUUUGUGACUGCACAGCUAGAGUACGGUAGAGGGGGAUGGAAUUCCGCGUGUAGCAGUGAAAUGCGUAGAUAUGCGGAGGAACACCGAUGGCGAAGGCAAUCCCCUGGACCUGUACUGACGCUCAUGCACGAAAGCGUGGGGAGCAAACAGG
rnacentral:rRNA from 1 species